UACGAAGGGGGCUAGCGUUGCUCGGAAUCACUGGGCGUAAAGGGUGCGUAGGCGGGUCUUUAAGUCAGGGGUGAAAUCCUGGAGCUCAACUCCAGAACUGCCUUUGAUACUGAGGAUCUUGAGUUCGGGAGAGGUGAGUGGAACUGCGAGUGUAGAGGUGAAAUUCGUAGAUAUUCGCAAGAACACCAGUGGCGAAGGCGGACUCACUGGCCCGAUACUGACGCUGAGGCACGAAAGCGUGGGGAG
rnacentral:rRNA from 1 species